rnacentral:lncRNA from 1 species
AAUAUACAUACAUCAAACAUACAAUUAUACACACAAAAAAAAAAGUAGGCUAAACCCACUGGAGACUACUCCCCAGCAGAGUCGCCACUUAAUUUCUGUAGCGGUAAAUACAUGACCAUCAAGCUAUGGAUAAGCAAGACAUCAAAUAACAAGAGUCGCCAUCGUGCUUUUAUUGUUUCCAAGGGAAAAGGGAAAAGUACGAACAAAAC